rnacentral:misc_RNA from 1 species
GAUGAAGAACGUAGCGAAAUGCGAUAAGUAAUGUGAAUUGCAGAAUUCAGUGAAUCAUCGAAUCUUUGAACGCACAUUGCGCCCGCCAGUAUUCUGGCGGGCAUGCCUGUUCGAGCGUCAUUACAACCCUCAGGCCCCCGGGCCUGGCGUGGGGGAUCGGCGGAGCCCCCCGUGGGCACACGCCGUCCCCCAAAUGCAGUGGCGGUCCCGCCGCAGCUUCCAUCGCGUAGUAGCUAACACCUCGCGACUGGAGAGCGGCGCGGCCACGCCGUAAAACACCCAACUCUUCUGAAGUUGACCUCGAAUCAGGUAGGAAUACCCGCUGAACUUAAGCAUAUCAAUAAGCGGAGGA